UACGAAGGGGGCUAGCGUUGCUCGGAAUUACUGGGCGUAAAGGGCGCGUAGGCGGACAGUUUAGUCAGAGGUGAAAGCCCAGGGCUCAACCUUGGAACUGCCUUUGAUACUGACUGUCUUGAGUUCGGGAGAGGUGAGUGGAAUGCCGAGUGUAGAGGUGAAAUUCGUAGAUAUUCGGCGGAACACCAGUGGCGAAGGCGACUCACUGGCCAGAUACUGACGCUGAGGCGCGAAAGCGUGGGGAGCAAACAGG
rnacentral:rRNA from 1 species